rnacentral:rRNA from 1 species
AUACGGAGGGUGCAAGCGUUAAUCGGAAUUACUGGGCGUAAAGCGUACGUAGGCGGUUAUUUAAGUCAGAUGUGAAAGCCCCGGGCUUAACUUGGGAACUGCAUUUGAAACUGGGUAACUAGAGUUUAGUAGAGGGGAGUGGAAUUUCAGGUGUAGCGGUGAAAUGCGUAGAGAUCUGAAGGAACACCAGUGGCGAAGGCGACUCCCUGGACUAAAACUGACGCUGUGGUACGAAAGCGUGGGUAGCAAACAGGAUUAGAAACCCUAGUAGUCC